rnacentral:rRNA from 1 species
GACGAACGCUGGCGGCGUGCCUAAUACAUGCAAGUUGAGCGCUGAAGGUUGGUACUUGUACCAACUGGAUGAGCAGCGAACGGGUGAGUAACGCGUGGGGAAUCUGCCUUUGAGCGGGGGACAACAUUUGGAAACGAAUGCUAAUACCGCAUAAAAACUUUAAACACAAGUUUUAAGUUUGAAAGAUGCAAUUGCAUCACUCAAAGAUGAUCCCGCGUUGUAUUAGCUAGUUGGUGAGGUAAAGGCUCACCAAGGCGAUGAUACAUAGCCGACCUGAGAGGGUGAUCGGCCACAUUGGGACUGAGACACGGCCCAAACUCCUACGGGAGGCAGCAGUAGGGAAUCGUCGGCCAUGGACGAAAGUCUGACCGAGCAACGCCGCGUGAGUGAAGAAGGUUUUCGGAUCGUAAAACUCUGUUGGUAGAGAAGAACGUUGGUGAGAGUGGAAAGCUCAUCAAGUGACGGUAACUACCCAGAAAGGGACGGCUAACUACGUG